rnacentral:rRNA from 1 species
GAGGCCUGCCUGCCCAGUGACAAACGUUCAACGGCCGCGGUAUCCUGACCGUGCAAAGGUAGCAUAAUCACUUGUUCCUUAAUUGGGGACUGGAAUGAAUGGCCUCACGAGGAUUCAACUGUCUCUUACCUCUAAUCAGUGAAAUUGACCUCCCCGUGAAGAGGCGGGGAUACAACAACAAGACGAGAAGACCCUAUGGAGCUUUAAUUUUCUGUCUUAACUACUAAAUAACUAACCCUACUGGGAUAAAAAAAAAAGAAAUAAGUCAGUAAUUUCGGUUGGGGUGACCUCGGAGAAUAAAACAACCUCCGAAUGAUUUUAACCAAGACAAACAAGUCAAAGUAUUAAAAAUCAAAUUGACCCAAUUCAUUUGAUCAACGGACCAAGUUACCCUAGGGAUAACAGCGCAAUCCUAUUCAAGAGUCCAUAUCGACAAUUAGGGUUUACGACCUCGAUGUUGGAUCAGGACAUCCCAAUGGUGCAGCAGCUAUUAAUGGUUCGUUUGUUCAACGAUUAAAGUCCUACGUGAUCUG